rnacentral:rRNA from 1 species
GAUGAACGCUGGCGGCGUGCCUAAUACAUGCCAGUCGAGCGAACAGACGAGGAGCUUGCUUCUCUGACGUUAGCGGCGGACGGGUGAGUAACACGUGGAUAACCUACCUAUAAGACUGGGAUAACUUCGGGAAACCGGAGCUAAUACCGGAUAAUAUUUUGAACCGCAUGGUUCAAUAGUGAAAGACGGUUUUGCUGUCACUUAUAGAUGGAUCCGCGCCGCAUUAGCUAGUUGGUAAGGUAACGGCUUACCAAGGCAACGAUGCGUAGCCGACCUGAGAGGGUGAUCGGCCACACUGGAACUGAGACACGGUCCAGACUCCUACGGGAGGCAGCAGUAGGGAAUCUUCCGCAAUGGGCGAAAGCCUGACGGAGCAACGCCGCGUGAGUGAUGAAGGUCUUCGGAUCGUAAAACUCUGUUAUUAGGGAAGAACAAAUGUGUAAGUAACUAUGCACGUCUUGACGGUACCUAAUCAGAAAGCCACGGCUAACUACGUG